rnacentral:lncRNA from 1 species
AAAGAAAGAUUUGGGUUUGAAAAAUUAAACCAUGCAUGGCAUUGCACCCCAAUCUUAAUGUUUACUUUCAUAUUGUACUUUGGAAAACCCUUUUAAACUUGCUUUUCAAUUGCCAUAUAUUUUUUAUUUACAGCUGUUACUUUUCUACGCUGUUUUCCUGGUUUCUUUUCUUUUUUUUUUUUUUUGGUGAUGCAUGUCUCUCAGCUUUCACGUUGUGUGUCUUGAGCUAAACUGUGAUUAAUUGCAAAAGGGGUCCUUGCAUUGAAUGGUGAUGAUUGAAUGGAAGACUCUUUUGUCUCUCCCUCCACUCUUUGUAAAUGGGGGGGUGCAGGCAGGCAGCCACUAUGACAAAAGCUACAUAAAGAACAUGUUUGAGAACUGUAACAAACGCUCCCUCGAGAGUAGCCACCCGUAACCAUCCACCCAUCCCCUUUCACCUUUCUUUUAAUUCCAAUGGCAUCCAAAGAUAGUAUAAUUGUGAGUUGGAAAGCUAAAAACUGGGCCUCUGCACCACUCCACCUCUACCAACACAAACCUAUCUUUAUCUAUAUGUAUAUAUACCUUUACUCCAUUGUCUACAACAUACGACUCUAUAGGACUCACAUAUAUACGCAUUUCCAUGGCAUCAAGUAUUGAACGAACCUGCCAAAUAGAGAUAUGUGGCGGUCCAUGUUCAAAUAAUAAAGAGACAAAAUAUGGAUUUCAUCCGAGGUACAGAGUAAGGGGUACAUAUGUAUAUAUAUGAUCAAUAUAUAAUAUUUACACCUUUUUCUUUUUCUUUAACUCACCAACUGAUUACUGAGGUCCAAUGGGGACAACUUGGGUUUUUUUGAAGCGCCCAAUGGAGAGGAGAAAUAUGCAAGUGUCUUGAAUUCAGCAGUAAAUCAUAACCAUAUCUGAGAAAUUUGAGCAUAUCAUUCUAGCUUUUCAAGUCUUUUAACAAAAUGGGGGUCCGAUAUGAACUUUUACAGAGAACGCCACGAGGUUGUUUUUACAACGAAAAAUCCAUAUUUCAAAAGGCUCAACUUUAGGGGUCCUCCAAUUUUGUCAUUCCCAUGUUCUAAAGUAGAAAAUGCUCAACACUAACAAAAAAGAGUUGGUAAAAGAGCUAGAUUCUGCACCCUACCCUUACCCCCUCACUUUUCAUAUAUAGGGAGGUGAAAGAAAUUUUGGCUUUUGGGCUUAUACUUUGGAUUCCUCACUUUAAACAUCAUUUUU